rnacentral:rRNA from 1 species
AACGAACGCUGGCGGCAGGCUUAACACAUGCAAGUCGAGCGCCCCGCAAGGGGAGCGGCAGACGGGUGAGUAACGCGUGGGAAUCUACCGUGCCCUACGGAAUAGCUCCGGGAAACUGGAAUUAAUACCGUAUACGCCCUACGGGGGAAAGAUUUAUCGGGGUAUGAUGAGCCCGCGUUGGAUUAGCUAGUUGGUGGGGUAAAGGCCUACCAAGGCGACGAUCCAUAGCUGGUCUGAGAGGAUGAUCAGCCACAUUGGGACUGAGACACGGCCCAAACUCCUACGGGAGGCAGCAGUGGGGAAUAUUGGACAAUGGGCGCAAGCCUGAUCCAGCCAUGCCGCGUGAGUGAUGAAGGUCUUAGGAUUGUAAAGCUCUUUCACC